rnacentral:lncRNA from 1 species
CUGAGGGAGGGGAUGUUAAAUGAUCAGAUGUUAACCGUGCCAGAGACACACUUGGUCUUACGAGGUACGAGGUUGCGGUGACAAACGGACAUGUUAGCCUCCAUCUGAUUCACUCAGCUGUUCCAGAACUCAAGCCAAAGAGCUGCCAUUUACUGGACCCCUCGCAUCCUAACAAACAUGAUGAUGGCACCAAUACCGACAAUUAUGAUAAUGUUUUAAAAGCUAUGAUUAUUUGAAUACUAGUGGGGUCGGGCCUUAUGAUGAAUUUCAG